GCUGGGAUAGCUCAGUCGGUAGAGCAUAAGACUCUUAAUUUCAGAUUCUCAGAGUCGUGAGUUUGAGCCUUGUGUUGGGCG